rnacentral:rRNA from 1 species
UACGUAGGGCGCAGGCGUUGUCCGGAAUUAUUGGGCGUAAAGAGCUCGUAGGCGGCCUGUCGCGUCUGCUGUGAAAUCCCGGGGCUUAACCCCGGGCGUGCAGUGGAUACGGGCUGGCUGGAGGCAGGCAGGGGAGAACGGAAUUCCCGGUGUAGCGGUGAAAUGCGCAGAUAUCGGGAGGAACACCGGUGGCGAAGGCGGUUCUCUGGGCCUGUACUGACGCUGAGGAGCGAAAGCGUGGGGAGCGAACAGG